UGAAUAGACAAGCAUCAAAGUGCAAGGCAGGAGUGAAGUUGGAAUGGAAGAGCAAGGAAAUCUAGGAAAAGAGGUAUGGAGGGAAGAAGGACUCCAGAGUGUUUACUGUCAAUACAGAGUAUUGAAAAGAAAAGAAGUCCAGAGAGGAGGUGUCUGCAGCUAGCCUGUGUGUCUUGGACUCAAAGAGUGUCAGGCAGGCUUCAAAGGCCAGAGGCAAGGCAGAUAAAACAGAUUUUUAAAAAUUGAAGUGAAAAGAAACAGAUUUUAUUUUGAGAAUUUAUACACUGAGAGUAGGCAGCACUGAUGUAAAGUGAAAAAGGAUUUUUUUAAUGUCAUGCCUUCAUUUGUACACCACCUACAGCUUCAAAAUCCUUUUAUAUGUAUCCAUCUAAUCCUUGAGGUGGGUAUGAGCCUCUUUUGGCGGUCGGCAAGGAUGGGAAAGAUGACAUGAUUUCACGACUCAUAAAGAAAGUGAUGGAGCUGUAGCUUGAAUUCUUUUACUUCAAAUCCACAAUGCCAUGCCUUGCUCCAGUGAAGGACGGACUGCUGUUCUGUCUCCUAAAACCCACACAGCUCGCCUGGAGCUUCAAAUGUGAGAACACAUUCCAGCUGCAGGAUCAGAGGACUUUUCCUACAGCCCAUAAGUGCCUGCAGCUCUAUCGGAUUUGCAAAUCUACAAAAGAGAGCACAUCCUAUUGUUCCCGGUUUUGAGUUUUUUUAAUAGUAUGUCUUGUAAAAUGCUGGUUGCUGGUGGACAGGGGUGUUUUACAGAUAGGUGUGACUCAGGAGGGGAAAUGGGUGGGCAGAGACAGCCACAAGGAAUUCCACACAUGAAGGAAAUGCUCCCACUUGUGUUUUCUAUUUGUGUUUUAAAUUUGGGGAGCGACUCACAGGCACUCAGCAAAAGUAACUAAUUAUAUUAACCUUAUCAGUAGUGAGGUUUCCUGGUCUCUCAUCAGACACUCAGCUCACUGGCUGGUAUUUAAUUGGGAGCCUGGUGGCCAGUGAAAACAGUGUGGGAUGAGUCACACUUUAACAAGUUUUUAUAGUACAGCAACCUUGCUGUAUAAUAGCCAGACAUUAUUAAAAUUCAGAUAUGGUACACUGACUUGUUUGUUUUCCUUAUUCACAUGAAACAGAUGCUCAGGACUCAUUUUACUUACACACAGUAAAUGAGGGUCAGCUGUGUUGAGGGAAGUGAGUACUUUGUUCUGGAAGGAUAGAUGUUGUAGCAAUUGUCUUGCUCUGAUUGUAUUUGAAAAGAAUGAAUGUUGUUAGUACAAUUUGGUAUUCUUCCAAUGCCUAGUUGGAGUUCAAGGGAUAUAAAACUGGGCGCUUGAGGAGUGGGAUGGAAAAGGAUGGAGAAGGAAGGUCAAAUAUGGCUUUGAAGGGGAUCAGCAGAAGCCAGAGGCCGCAGUGGUGAACACUCCUUGUGAAUGGCCCUUUGCACCCACGGCUUGGUGAACCCAGCAUGGACCGUGGAGAGAGGACCUGCCUAAAAACCAGAGACGGGGUUUGCCUCUCCGCAUCACCACUGGCUUGCUGCAUCAAGAAUCUGCCUUUCAGCUUCUUCACCUGAAACAAGGUGAUUGGGAUAGCUGGUUUUAUUUAUUUAUUUUUGAGGCCAUUCUAGCACUUUGUAAAGUCCAAGGGGGUGUGGUAUUGUAAUUCUUGGAAUAAUACAAUGAACAUCAGAUGCUUUGAAGUUUUCCGUUCGGUGGAUUCUGGGAUUCUUUUCUGAAUGAGUGAUUACUAGCCAACAGGAAUCUCAUGGUUCAACCUCAAACUCAAAAGUUAUUUCGGGGAUGGAAAAUGGUAAGAUUGGGGAAAAUCCUUCCACCUUCACCCCUGUGAAUUAGGAGUCUUGUUAAUUAGUAUACAUGAUUAAAUAUUGAGAUUUAUAGGCAUCAACUUGUGUGACCUGUGACAGUUGGGUAUCAAAACA
rnacentral:lncRNA from 1 species